rnacentral:lncRNA from 10 species
GGCCGUUUUCAGGAACCGGUAUUUAUUAUCAAAGUCAUAUUCGAUGUCAACAAGAUGCCACAACUACAAAAAAAAUUGCGCACAUUGCAAUCUCAAUGCAAACAGUCAAAUGGAACCCCAGUCAUUAAAAAAGUAAUUCAAAUUACCCCAAAAAGCAACUGAAUUUUUUAAACAUCUUUAUACAUCCAGCCAACAAAUUAAAAUGGUUAACAAGAAAAAAUACAAAUUCAGAGGUCUCGUAUCGAUGUUUAAAAAAGGCAACUGCUUAAGCGUUUCUAUCAAUUCGAACGUCAAUCUCUCGGCCACUCAGCUUCAUGCCAUUCAUCACCCCUUGGACUUCCCAUUCUCCAUCUUGAUGUCGGCGUACAGCACGUGGCCUAGGACAGGGAGGGAAGAAGAGACGACACUCAGUCCCGAUUUUGUUAGAUUUUGGUGGACAGAGUCAAAAAGGAGAGGCCCUGAAGCCUAGAGCACAAAGGCUCAGAAUACAAUGGCGAGAACCAAUGACUACGGCCCCCUCAGCCACACUGCCAUUCUUCUGCUAACAGAGCCUGCCCCUGCCCCAUGAAAAGCCUUCCUGGCGGAUUCAAUGCACGCCUUUACGCUUCAGGAAGUUCAAAAAAGAAGGCGCAGUGUAAAGCCAGCUUUAUAGGCAGAAAGUUCCCAUACAUUUUACAAAGUCUUCAUUUUUGAUAUGCCACCGCCCCUGGUUACAAAGCCAUCCGCAAUCCAAUGGACACGUCUGUACUGUCCAAAUGAAAGCCAGCAGGUUUCACUUAUUCAUUUGAGCACCCGUUAAGCAUCCAGAUAUGUGUCAACGCCGUGGACAGAGCCCUAGAGGGCAAAGGCUCUACUCCAGGAGUACCAAAGGUGGUAGGGCCACAAUGCCAGAGGUGGGAACUCAGUGCCUAAGAGAGGGCCCAGGGCAGGUAGGGUGGAGGGGUCCUCAGGGGCAAGUUCUGAGUGAGCUUACACAGAAAUUCACCAGAAAGAAGACUUGCCAGUAAUUGGCUCACACGAGAGCAUUGCGGGACACGUGCAGCACUUGCCGCUCAGGUUCUGGGACAGGAGGGAGAUGGAGGAGGAUAGGACCAGGUCUUCAAGGGGCUUGUGAGUCUGGACUUCCUCUUGAAGGCACAGGGCCGCUCCAGGCAUUGCAAAAGUGGGGGCUGGGGGCGCUGUGAUCCCACUGGCCUUUUCAGAAUAUCUAGCUACAACAUGGGAACUCAGGAGUGGGGAAAGAGGUGAAGAAUGGAGCAAAGAGGCAGAUCAUGACUCAACGGCUUGCCCCAAGAACCAUGGAGAAGCAGCAAUGGUGGUGAAAUCGGAGCCACUGCUGAAACAGGAAGCGGGAGGACAGUGCGGAAGCAGCUGCCCAGACCUCUAGCUCAGGCCCCUCUAGCUAAAAAGAACAGAGGUGGUGCAUGCGGGGUGGGGGCUCACCCUGGAGGGCAGGGAAGGAAGACAACUUGCUUUCAGCCACAGACAGAGCCCUCCAGAAGAGUUGCCCGAUGUGCCAGGAAACCACAAGACCUUAGCCUCACCCUCACAGGAGCUGCUGUGUGCCCAGAGCCUGCACCGCCUCCCCAUGGCACCUGCUGGGCUGUGUUCUCUCCGAGGCCCCACACCAGCUGUGCUGAGGGGAAAGCGACCUCGUCUGGGAUGUAUUUAUUUAGCCUUGCCACCUAGAAGCCAGGUAACCUCAGAAGGAAGACUCUGCCUGACUCAUCUGUGAAAUGGGGACACUACUACCUUGUUUCAAAGACUCAAAAAGAAAAAAGGAAGUAAGGAUGAAAUGAGAACACAGCUGAAAAACAUGUGACACAUCACAGGACACUCAACAACCUGCCUGAGCAUUGGCGUGGGCAGAACAUGGCAAGGCCAUGGGUCCUGAGCCGACGGAGGGGGCUGGGAGGGAGGUUUUGCUGCUGACUCGGCUGCGUCACCAACAAGCACGAGGGAAGCACCUACAAAGCCGUUCCCAACACUUACCGCACUCGUUGAAUUUGUCCUUUAGCAUCUUCCAUGUGAAAUCGAAUGGCAGCUGAAGGGGAGAAGAAAAGGGAGACUGAUGCGUGAUUAAACCAAAUCCUAAGGCAUGCCUUGCAGCUGGCUCUGAGGGCCAUGCUAGAUUUCUCACUAUACCGAGAAGCUGGCUGCCCUUCAGACUGAGGCGAUCAGCAGGAAACUAAUAGAUACAUGUGGGACAAGGCUGUGAAGCGGCACAGCCAGCUCCCUCCCUGGGGCUCUGCCUGUGGGAGCACCGUGCAGGAUGGGACACUCAGGCCUGCGGUGCGCAGCCCACAGUCACUAAAUAGUGGCUAAGGGUGGCUGAGCUGGGGAAAAUAAUUCCGUUACAGCCACUUCUUUCCCUGGACCAUCGUGCAACACAUAGUGCCUCUUCAAGCCAACCAAUCAGAAACUGGAGUCUCUGAGCUCAGCGUCUGCUCCAUAUUCUAGCACAGUGGAGAAGCCCAGGCUCUUCCAGAACCCACAGUUCUCACAUUCCUUACUUGUCCCACUAGCAUAAAACGUUUGGGACAGUGGCAAGGAGGUGUGGUCCCCUUUGAAGGGCGCCACCUCUGACUUCAUCCUGCUGAUCUUUGC